rnacentral:lncRNA from 1 species
CAUCGUCCCCACCAAGAUCCUUUGGUUCUGCUUCAAUCUCAACCUGCAGAGACGUAGGCGCCAUGAGUUCAUUGUCUCCGAUCCCGCCGCCAUGGGGACUGAGGAGCAUGGCGAUGAAGUCUUCUACAGCGAGUAUUCCGGCCGAAGUCCCCCCCUGUAUAUGUUAAACAUCCACCGAUCUCACCCGGGUUUAGAGCCUUCGAAGCAGCCGUGCCCGUCAACAUUGCCGAUCAAGCCACCCGCAGCCGGAUCUAGCCUCAUCGAACCCAUGGACCUAGUCUCCCUUGUGCACAUAAUCCGCCUUUGAUGGUUCACCCAUUCGCGCCUCCCCUCCUCCGUCGGU